rnacentral:rRNA from 1 species
UACGUAGGGUGCAAGCGUUGUCCGGAAUUGUUGGGCGUAAAGAGCUCGUAGGCGGUCUGUCGCGUCUGCUGUGAAAACUCGGGGCUUAACCCCGGGCCUGCAGUGGGUACGGGCAGACUAGAGUGCGGUAGGGGAGACUGGAAUUCCUGGUAUAGCGGUGAAAUGCGCAGAUAUCAGGAGGAACACCGGUGGCGAAGGCGGGUCUCUGGGCCGUAACUGACGCUGAGGAGCGAAAGCAUGGGGAGCGAACAGG